rnacentral:rRNA from 1 species
AUUGAACGCUGGCGGCAGGCCUAACACAUGCAAGUCGAACGAGUGGCGGACGGGUGAGCAAUGUCGGGGAAACUGCGUGAUGUAGGGGGAUAACUACUGGAAACGGUAGCUAAUACCGCAUACCAUCAUAUGUGCCCAGAUGGGAUUAGCUAGUCGGUGGGGUAACGGCUCACCAAGGCGACGAUCCCUAGCUGGCCUGAGAGGAUGACCGGCCACACUGGAACUGAGACACGGUCCAGACUCCUACGGGAGGCAGCAGUGGGGAAUAUUGGACAAUGGACGCAAGCCUGAUGCAGCCAUGCCGCGUGUAUGAAGAAGGUCUUCGGGUUGUAAAGUACUUUCGGCGGGGAAGCGUUACCCGAAGAGGAAGCACCGGCUAACUCCGUGCCAGCAGCCGCGGUAAUAC